UCGAUGAAAAGGUGCUUAGCAUCUGCUCGAACAUAACAGGACUUGAGCCACGUCACGACAGUGACACUAUUUCAAGUAAGUAUUGGCAUGUUUUUGGUUACCAGUUACUAUUUAAAGUGCAAAAGCUCACAUGUAAUAAUAUUUUUCAGAAUCUACUCCUCUGGAAGAAGUUGAAGAUAGUAAUAUUAUUUUUGAAAUAGAAGAAAUACCAGAAAAUUCAUUCCAACCCCAUCCAGUAGUUGAUUUGGCCAUCGGGGAAAUUGUUGAGGACAAUCAAAAAGAAAAUAAUUGGGACAAAUGGCACCCAAAGGCUUUAAAAUCAAGGGUGUCCAAUGUAUUAAAACCAAAUGUCUCCAAAGCUAGUGUCACCGCCAAACUAGACAAAUUAAGCGAAGCUCGACUGGAGCUAGUACAGCUCCAAAUGAAGACUGCCAAACUUGAGCACCAGUUUAUGGAGGAGGAGCAUAAACUGAAAAUGUUGCAUUUAGCUAAUGAUGAGAGAAGAAAAGAAGAAUUACACUCAUUACAAUUAAAACAAAAUGGGUGUAAUUGUGGAGCAGUUCCAAAUACCAUGACUUAGAUUUUUGUUCAUUAUUUUGAAAAAUAAAAACUUGACUUUAAUAAAA